GUUCCUCUCCAUCCCCGCCGCGCUAAGGGAGGCGGCGGGGUCUGAACCGCCGCCCGCUGCGGGCAGCGCCGCCGUGAGGGGCUGCCCCGCCACCGGGCCCUGCCGUUACCUGGGAGAGCCGGGGCUAUUUUUAACCUGGAUGUGUUCUGCGAUUUGUUUCCCACACAGCAUUGAAACUGGCACAGCUGAGGGAUGUUGUCCUGGGACUUCUCUCAUCACAGGAUUCCAUAGUGAGACCUUAGUGAAAAGCAGAGACAGAGCUUUUCUUGUAUCACACCAGACUGCAAACAUAAGGAUGUGCUGGGACACCUCUAUAUUGACCCAUCUCAGUUUGGCUUCAUGCAAGAAUGGAAGACCAACACGUAUCCACCUCCUUUUUUUUUUUUUUUUCCCUGGUGUUUGUGGAAAGGAGGAAAAGCACCUUUUGCUGUCCAGGUUUAUGACAUUCCUGCUCCCCCUGGGUGGAAAGAAAAGGGAGGUCUUCCCUCUCCCUAUGAGGGAAGCAAUGACUAUUGGAGUGAUGGGCAAGAAGCUGUCUCAGGGCAGACCUUCUUCUCCUCAGGGACCUGCACCCCAUCCACUCCCUGCCCUGGGCUAGUGUGCUGGGAUACCCUGGCCUGUCCCCUCCUGGGCUCCCCCCUGUUCUGUAGCUCUGAGCCCCACCACUUUCUGUCCUUGGAAAGGCAGAGGUGGUGCAGCAGGCUCCCAGCAGCUACAGAGGAGCAGAGGGUCUCCAUCGAGGUAUCUCCUUGCAGAAGAUGGAGAAGACACCUUUGCUAUAGGGGCUGCAGGCUGGGGCAGUCGCAGGCUUUCCUCUGCAGCCAGCAGCACUCUGCUUUUUCCCAUCAUUUAUUAUCUGAUGUCUGUUUUUGUCUGUUUCGUGCUGGCACUUGGGACACCUCCUCCUUGUGGGCUGCCAAGGAUGGUGGCAGUGUCCCAACACCGAGGGUAUUGGCCCCGGCCCUGGGCACAAAGCAUCCAUCCCCACUGCUCGCCUGACCCUCCCCUUGAGACCUACUUUUGCUGGGAGAAGCAAGGUAACCUCGCCACUGAAAAUAGCUGGGACGGCAGCCAGUGGAGAUUAAUGGCAUCAUUAACGUUCCCAGUUUAUUUAUAGGCUUAAAAAUGCCUCAGACUUGCAAACUGAGCAGAGUUGUUCUGUGUAACACAGGGACUGACAGGUCUCCUGCUUCUGCCUUUCCCAUUCCUUCUAUUUCAUUCUGAUUGCUGGGACUGUAAAACCUCCGGAGCAGAGACUGUCUCUCUUUGUGAACCUACGCUGUAAACCUUCCUAACUGGGGGGAUACACACAGAUACUUUUUUCUUCCCAAGAAUGCUGUAUUUGUCUGGUCUCCUUCUUCCACCAACUCCUUCUGUGCAUACUGUGUACUGUGGCCUUCUUUAGGAAAAUUAUCUUUUUGAUGAAUUCCUGAGGCACAAGCUGAGCAGUCGUCACAGGAAUUAGUGAUUUUCUGCCUUGGGUUUUAAAUUAUGAGCUCUGUAGGAGGAGGACAGAGAUUCUCAUUGCUGUGGAGAGCACCUAGGAUAUGUAGGGCCCUAGUGAGGCAGAUGCAAUUAAUGAUCAUGGAGGUCUUUCAGCUGGAGCCAGCAGAGCCAACCCAGCUCCCAGAUCCCCCAGGAACCUCACGAGACUGUCAAGAAAAGAAAAAAACACCCCGAGUGUGUUGGCCCGAGAAGAGGAAUUUUCAGCACGUAACGUGUGGCUGCACUGCCUGGCCUAUUUCCCAGCACUCAGUGAAAGGUAAGUGAGAAAGGAGACUUGUCAGCAGGCAGAAAUCCAAGGGAUCGGCUGUGUGACUGGUAGAUGGCUUCAUGGGUGGGAAAAAAGUUAAAAUGUCAGUAGGGAGCCCUCCCUCCCAGAAACAUGGAGCACCAGCAUGGAAGCUCAUGGAGGUGAUGUGGCUUCAAAGGGCAGCCACCCUGCCCUUUGAUGUUGGGUUUUUGUUGUAUCAAUCUGAGAUAAACUCCUGUGUCAGUCUCCCCUCGGCAUUUUUCUUCUAGGGGCUGAAAUAAUAAAGAACUGGCAGAGAACCACUCAAACCACUGUUGUCUGGUUUUUUCCCUCUGGGCAAUGAGAAUACUUCAGAGCAAAGUGAAGGAGCCCAAAAUAGUAGA